rnacentral:rRNA from 1 species
AGAGUUUGAUCCUGGCUCAGGACGAACGCUGGCGGCGUGCCUAACACAUGCAAGUCGAGCGAUCUGGCACUCAAUUUCUUUUGAAAUUGAGUGCCAGAUAGCGGCGGACGGGUGAGUAACGCGUGAGGAACCUGCCUUCUACUAGGGGAUAGCCUCGGGAAACUGGGAUUAAUACCCUAUGACACCUUUAAAUCGCAUGAUUUGAAGGUUAAAGCGUUUUAGCGGUAGAAGAUGGCCUCGCGUCCCAUUAGCUAGUUGGUGAGGUAACGGCUCACCAAGGCUACGAUGGGUAGCCGGCCUGAGAGGGUGACCGGCCACACUGGAACUGAGACACGGUCCAGACUCCUACGGGAGGCAGCAGUGGGGAAUAUUGCACAAUGGGCGAAAGCCUGAUGCAGCGACGCCGCGUGGAGCGAAGAAGGCCUUCGGGUCGUAAAGCUCUGUCCUAUGGGAAGAUAAUGACGGUACCAUAGGAGGAAGCCCCGGCUAACUACGUGCCAGCAGCCGCGGUAAUACGUAGGGGGCGAGCGUUGUCCGGAAUGACUGGGCGUAAAGGGUGCGUAGGCGGCCAGGUAAGUCAGAUGUGAAAGGCAUAGGCUCAACCUAUGUAAGCAUUUGAAACUGUCUGGCUUGAGUCGAGGAGAGGAAAGUGGAAUUCCUGGUGUAGCGGUGAAAUGCGUAGAUAUCAGGAGGAAUACCAGUGGCGAAGGCGACUUUCUGGACUUGGACUGACGCUGAGGCACGAAAGCGUGGGGAGCAAACAGGAUUAGAUACCCUGGUAGUCCACGCUGUAAACGAUGAGUGCUAGGUGUCGGGGAGUAAUCUUCGGUGCCGGAGUUAACACAAUAAGCACUCCGCCUGGGGAGUACGGUCGCAAGACUGAAACUCAAAGGAAUUGACGGGGACCCGCACAAGCGGUGGAGCAUGUGGUUUAAUUCGAUGCAACGCGAAGAACCUUACCAGGGCUUGACAUCCCUCUGACGGUACUAGAGAUAGUACUUUCUCUUUGGAGACAGGGGAGACAGGUGGUGCAUGGUUGUCGUCAGCUCGUGUCGUGAGAUGUUGGGUUAAGUCCCGCAACGAGCGCAACCCUUGGGUUUAGUUGCCAUCAGGUGAAGCUGGGCACUCUAGACCGACUGCCGGCGACAAGUCGGAGGAAGGUGGGGAUGACGUCAAAUCAUCAUGCCCUUUAUGUCCUGGGCUACACACGUGCUACAAUGGGCGGUACAAAGGGUAGCGAACCCGCGAGGGGGAGCCAAUCCCUAAAAGCCGCUCCCAGUUCGGAUUGCAGGCUGCAACUCGCCUGCAUGAAGCCGGAAUCGCUAGUAAUCGCGGAUCAGAAUGCCGCGGUGAAUACGUUCCCGGGUCUUGUACACACCGCCCGUCACACCAUGGGAGUCAGCAAUGCCCGAAGCCAGUGAGCUAACCGUAAGGGGGCAGCUGUCGAAGGCAGGGCUGAUGACUGGGGUGAAGUCGUAACAAGGUAACC